UACGAAGGGGGCAAGCGUUGUUCGGAAUUCCUGGGCGUAAAGGGCGCGUAGGCGGUGCACUAAGUCAGGCGUGAAAGCCCUGGGCUCAACCCGGGAAUUGCGUUUGAUACUGGUGCGCUUGAAUCCAGGAGAGGUUGGUGGAAUUCCCAGUGUAGAGGUGAAAUUCGUAGAGAUUGGGAAGAACACCGGUGGCGAAGGCGGCCAACUGGACUGGUAUUGACGCUGAGGCGCGAAAGCGUGGGGAGCAAACAGG
rnacentral:rRNA from 1 species